rnacentral:tRNA from 7 species
GCCCGGGUGGUCUAGUGGUAUGAUUCUCGCUUAGGGAAAUAACCCAAGCAUAUCUGCGAGAGGUCCCGCGUUCGAUCCGCGGCUCGGGCC